AUGGGCAUCCACUCAAUUUCCAGUUUCUAGCCACUACAAAGAGGGCUAGCAUGGCCCCUGCUUAAGGAUGACAUGCAAAUCUGUGAAGUAUUCCCUAUUAAA
ensembl:snRNA U6 U6 spliceosomal RNA